AUGGUGAUAAGGAAGCUUUGGCUCAGUCACAUUACCUGUCUGUGUAAGCAUUUCAAUUCGCAGCACCUAGAAGCGAUGAAACAUGAACAUGGCUCAUGGAACAUUGUGGCCUACUCAACUCUCAAGCUUUCCUUCUCUUCUUCCAUGCUUAUCCCCAUCAGUCCUCCAUUCAUUCCUCAGAGACAACUGCCAAAAAUCGUUGUUGGAAUCCAUUGUUUGCUCUUACAAAAGAAAACAGACAAAUAUCAGAUAGAACCCAAUCAGAAGGUCACAUGCAAUUUCACAGAUGGUGGCAAAACCAGUCUAGUCCCACGUACAGGAAGAAGACACAAGAACAAUCUCUCACAGGUGGAGUUGGGUCAUUCAUCCAAAGCCUGGGAGAUUCUCAGUCUAAGGUAGGGAGAACACAGAACCAGAAUUGGUUUGAAAACUUAGAUGGUUUUGAAUGAGUACAUUGUAGGAGAGAAAAGACUUCUCAUUCAUUGCAAAGUUCACACCUGAGAUCCCUAUAACAAAGACAUAUUAACAAGAGAAAAUCAUACAAAUUUUAAGUUUUACAUGACACGAGAUUCUUCACAGGAAAUAAAGAACAAGGAAAAAGGUAUAUUUUUAUGGAC
rnacentral:lncRNA from 1 species